ensembl:lncRNA novel transcript, antisense to SDK2
CCCUGUAAUGGGACCACCUGGGUUCAAACCCAGUGGACUCUGCCACUCACAGGCUGUGUUUCCCUGGGCAUCAUUCUGUAACUCUGCUGCACCUCUCCUGAAAAAUAGGGAUAGCAGUGCCUACCUCGUUGGCCUAUGGAAAGGGGUAAGUGCUUCAACCAGUGCCUGGCACAGAGAAAGAGCCCUUGGAAAGAAGGCUGUUAUUAUUCCUCAUCUUGGCUUGGUGCAGCCUCUGCAAGCCCUUCUCAUAGCCGGGGCCUCCUGUUUGAACCACACAGGUCUGCAGGAGCCCAGAGCGAGGACUCAUAGGCCCAGGGAUGCGUCCAAGAACCCACAGCCUGGGGGUCUCCAGUGUCUACCUCCUUGGUCAGCGAUGGUGCCACCAGAUGCAGGGCACGGAAGGCUGUGCCGUGAGGAAGGACCAGCACCCCAGAGCUCUGGCUGGCAUGCUUCCCAGGGGCAGCCCCUGUUCCUCCUCUUGCCCACCCUUGGAGACGGGCCAUCACCUAAGAGGAGGGAGAGAUGGAAGCUGGGGGAAGAUGGGAGCUAGGGGCAGUGGCUCUGACUUAACACCAGCAUUGGUUUCCCAAUAUUGAAUAAAGAGGGCUGAGCUGGACAGCAGGUGUCCUUAGGGGCUUGACCUCACCACCCCCAGACGGGGCCUGUCUGCCCAAUUUCAGGGGCUUCUCCUCAAUUUCCUGGCUUCAGGGCGAGGCUGCUCAGCCCAGGGACAAGAAGGAAAGAUGGGUAUUUGUUAAAGGCCUACUCCACACUGAGCAGCGCAUGUUUACCCAUUUAAUCCUCCCAGCCUCCUUAGGGGAGUGCUAUGAGGACUUCUCUUUUAUUUCUCUCAUCUGAAGCUCAGAUGAGAGAGGUACCCAGUCACAUGUGUGUCAGUGGCAGAGCUGGGUUUUGAACCCAUAGCCGCCUGCCUCCAUGCAAGGCCUCUGACCUCCCCUCUGUCCAGGCUGCGUUUGGAGCCCAGGAACAGAUUCCAAGGCUGGGCCCCGCAGGGAGGAAAAAACAAAGCACGAGUCGCUCUCUGCACGGAGGCUGAGAGAUGGAGCCACCGCUGAGGAAGAACACACAUUCAUCAGGCUGGUGACCCCGGUGUACCAGCGCUUUGUGGCGUGUAACAAAGACUGCCGAGCAGAAAAUUGGAGUUCAAUUUGCCGUCCAUCCUGCACGCAGUGCUCAGCCCAUUCUAGUCCCUGGCAGGCACCUCUGUGCUUUAUCAUAAAUAAUAACACCACGCGGCUCUAUGGCCCUUUCCGCAGUUACAGUCCCCGAGCAAUUUACAAGCCAGAUUAUACACAGAAGCCUGCACAUGCCUGCCGGCCAGCACACACCACACACACGCGGCCUCCUCCCCAGUCACUCCUAGGGCCCACGGCCAUCCUGGUGUCACCCAUCUGGGGCUGCACCCAAUCUGGAGGGAAGCAGGCCGUUGUGCACCCCUGGACACUGGGCUCUGCUCCUGCCCUGGUCACCUUCUUUAUCCCUUUUACUGGCUCUCAUGGUUGGCAGAGAACCCACGAGGUCUGGUGGCCCACUGCCCCUUGCUGGACCAAGGUCAAGGCCACUUCCCCUCUCUUUCUUUCCGUUUUAGAAGGAGCUUCUGGACCUCCUCCCCUCCAAUCAGCAGUGGCCCUUUGUCUCUACCACAGGGAGUCCCGUCUCUCCUCAGAACUUAUUGGGAGUAGUGGGGGGGUGCAAAAGCAGCAACAGGGACCCACAAGUUCAACCGCUCGCUUCACAGACGAGACCCCUGGGGCCCAGAGAGGUGCAGCAGCUUCCCUGAGGACUCUGCAUCAGCUGCUGAGCUGAGACCAAAGCCCAGGACCACCGGCACCCAGUCCACUACACAGCGGAGCCCCAAGGAGGGAGGUAAACAAAGGUCUAGGGCAGACUGGGCUGCUCCCUCUGAGCAUCUAGAAACUUCCCCAGAAGCAGAAGCUUCAGGCAGGGCCUGGAGGGGCUCCAGCAGCAGCUCCUUCCCCCUCUUGCCAUCAAACUAAAUAAGAGGUCAACUAUUGUAUGAUGCCAUUUAUAUGAGAUAUCCAGAGUAGGUAGAUCCAUAGAGAUGGGGCUCAGAUUGGUGACUGGCAGGUGGUUGGGAGAGAGGGGAAUGGGGAGUGACUGUGAGUGGGUACAGGCUUCCUUCUGGGGUGAUGAAAGUAUUCUGGAACUCAGUGGUGGUUGUACAUCAUUGUGAAUGUACUAAGU